rnacentral:rRNA from 1 species
UAUUUAUUAGAUAAAAAACCAAGGCCCUUCGGGGCUCCUUGGUGAAUCAUAAUAACUUAACGAAUCGCAUGGCCUUGCGCCGGCGAUGGUUCAUUCAAAUUUCUGCCCUAUCAACUUUCGAUGGUAGGAUAGUGGCCCACCAUGGUGGCAACGGGUAACGGGGAAUUAGGGUUCGAUUCCGGAGAGGGAGCCUGAGAAACGGCUACCACAUCCAAGGAAGGCAGCAGGCGCGCAAAUUACCCAAUCCCGAUACGGGGAGGUAGUGACAAUAAAUACUGAUACGGGGCUCUUUUGGGUCUCGUAAUUGGAAUGAGAACAAUUUAAAUCCCUUAACGAGGAACAAUUGGAGGGCAAGUCUGGUGCCAGCAGCCGCGGUAAUUCCAGCUCCAAUAGCGUAUAUUAAAGUUGUUGCAGUUAAAAAGCUCGUAGUUGAACCUUGGGUCUGGCUGGCCGGUCCGCCUCACCGCGAGUACUGGUCCGGCUGGACCUUUCCUUCUGGGGAACCUCAUGGCCUUCACUGGCUGUGGGGGGAACCAGGACUUUUACUGUGAAAAAAUUAGAGUGUUCAAAGCAGGC